ensembl:lncRNA
CUGUAUGUCUGUUCUGAAUUCGAAUCUGUGACUCAAGCAGGUUCGAAACUGCUGGCAAUAGUCCUGGGCGGACGCCAGCUUAUAGGACAGCCAAUGGAGACCGGUGGGAGACGUCCCCUGGCUCUCUUCUGAUUUAAAUUGCGAUCUGAGUUGCCGGAGCGCGUUUGCAAUCCGGGCAACAGCUGACUCUGACCCCGGUUCCCAGGCGCGCGCGUGCGGUCUGAGUUGCCCCGGUUCCCGGGCGCGCGCGUGCGGUCUGAGUUGCCCCGGUUCCCGGGCGCGCGCGUGCGGUCUGAGUUGCCCCGGUUCCCGGGCGCGCCCGCUUGCGGCCCCAGUCCCCAGGCUCCCGGCUUCCGGCGCCGCGCUUGCGGCCCCGGUCCCCGGACUCCCGCCUUCCGGCGCCGCGCUUGCGGCUCCGGUCCCCGGGCUCCCGGCUUCCGGCGCGGUUCCUGGGCGCGCACGCUUGCGGCCCCGGUCCCCGGGCUCCCGGCUUCCGGCGCCGCGCUUGCAGCCCCGGUCCCCAGGCUCCUGGCUUCCGGCGCGGAUUUCCUUUACAGGGAUUGUAACCCACAUUCCUUUACAGGAAGAGACACAGAAAAUUUCAGCCGAAAAGAGAAAUCGGCGAGGCAGCCUCUUCAAGCGCCGGAGCUGGGAGCGCGGGUUCUGAUCCUCGGUCGCCGGGCCGGACUCCCGCAGGGCCACGGGUAAGAGGUGCCUGAGCAGCUCCAAGGGAUAAGUGCGGGACGGUAGGGGCUCCCCCUCGCCCAGCCAGGACCUUGCCCCAAGGACGUGACAGAUGCAAAAAUCUUUUCUUCUGCUUGGCAGAACACUGUGGAUGUGGCUCAUGGUGGGUCUUGAGAGCAAGCUAAGAUGUCCCUCCAGGCGCUCAGGACCAUCGCCCUGAUUUUCAUAUUGUGCAAAUAUGAAAAUUUUCAGCGGUUACGAAGGACUGAAAAACCCCGCAGUCUUUGAAGGGCUCAGUUUGGAGGGCGUGCGGAGGUGUGGGGGUGGGGGAUGGGAGAGAGGUGCCUUGUUGGCUCCUUGGAGUGAACUGGCAGGAAGGAAAACACACAAAUUCCAUUUCCCCUUCCAAGCUGGACUGCAGGGCCUGGGAUGGAAAAUUGAACAGUCAAAGAGUACCAAUAUGUAGAGGUUGGCUGCAUGCAUUGAAAAUUGUUAUCCCUCAUGCCUAUAAUCCCAGCAUUUUGGGAGGCCGAGGUGGGCGGAUCACGAGGUCGGGAGAUGGAGAUCAUCUUGGCCAAUAUGGUGAAACCCGUUUCACUAAAUACAAAAAUUAGCCAGGCUGCCUUGCAUGAUGCCUGUAACCCCAGCUACUCAGGAGGCUGAGACAGGGGAAUCACUUGAACCUGGGAGGCAGAGGUUGCAGUGAGCUUAAGCUGAGAUCGCACCACUGCACUCCAGCCAGGCGACGGAGCAAGACUCUGUCUGGGUGAAAGAAAGAAAAGAAAGAAAGAGAGAGAGAGAGAGGGAGGGGAGGGGGAGGGGAGGGAGAGGGGGAUGGGGAGGGGAGGGGGGAGGGAGGGGAGGGAGGGACGGGAGGGAGGGGGGAGGGCGUGUUGCACCAUGGCCCCUAGAGAGAAGUGUGUAAAGAGGGACCAGGACACUGCUACAGCAGCAGCAGCACCAACACCAGCUUUGGAGCAUAUGUAACUUUGAUAACCAUGUAUAAUGCAUAAAAAAUCAUUCUUGUUUACAACCAAUUAUCACAACUAGCUACAGAUUUCUUUGUUUCUUCUCCACUCUCACUGCUUCACUUGACUAAACUUAAAGGAAAAAAAAAUUUAUUUUUACAUAUGAUAUUGUUCAAGUUGAUCCUCAGCCCGCCCUCCUCAAGUAGCUGGGACCACAGGUGUACAACACAGUGUCCAGCUAAUUUUGUAUGUUUUGUAGAGACAAUGGUUUUGCCAUGUUGGCCAGGCUGGUCUUGAACUCCUGGACUCAAGUGAUCUGCCUGCCUGGGCCUCCCAAAGUGCUGGGAUUUUGUGCUGGCCUCCAUGCCCAGCCAUAAUUUGUAUUUUGAAUUUAAGUAUUUUAUAGUCAUAAGUGUUACUCUUCAAAGAUUCUGGGUUUUAUAGCAUGUACAUGGUGGGGUUCAGGACACACUACUCCAAAAUAUAACAAUUCGGGGUAUUGAAUAUUUUAUGCUAAAGGAAUUUGAGAAAACAACAGAAGCAGGAAGGUCACUGUCACUCUCCCCAUGCCCUUCUUUCCUGAAGCUGAUCAUAAGGCUCUCAUGUGAGAGGUGCCCACUCUGUACCCAGAAGAAAUGUGCAUUGUUGUGUCUGAAAACACAGCAACACAGAGUCUGAACAUACAGGCCUGGCUACGUUUCCCCCAGUUUAUUACCAUUAGAUCAUACUCCUUUCAUCAUAUCACACUUCUCUAUAGCUAUCCAGUAUUCAUCAAACCUACCAUUAAAAAAAAUAAAUAAAAUAAAAUAAAUUUUAAAAACCUUGAAAUUUAGCUAUUUCUUCAGGCCUUCAUUUCCUUAGCAAGGCUCUUCUGUCAUGUAAAACUUACAUUAAAUAACUAGAUAUGCUCUCUUCUCUCGUUAGUCUGUCUUUUGCUGUAAGGUUCUCAGCAGUGAACCUAGGCUGGGUUAGGAAAAGCCAUAUUUCCUCCCUUACAUGUGCAAAUGUCUUCUACUGUAAAAUGAUAAAAAUUUUAUUGGGGCAGGUUUGAAGCAAGAAAUUGAAUCAUCGUUCCCCUUUGGA